UACGUAGGUGGCAAGCGUUGUCCGGAAUCAUUGGGCGUAAAGCGCGUGUAGGCGGUUUCGUAAGUCUGCUGUGAAAGUCGGAGGCUCAACCUUCGAAAGCCGGUGGAUACUGUGAGACUUGAGUACGGAAGAGGAGAGUGGAAUUCCUGGUGUAGCGGUGAAAUGCGUAGAUAUCGGGAGGAACACCAGUGGCGAAGGCGGCUAUCUGGGCUUUAACUGACGCUGAGGCGCGAAGGCUAGGGGAGCAAACAGG
rnacentral:rRNA from 1 species